rnacentral:rRNA from 1 species
GGAGUUUGGACCGUGUCUCAGUUCCAAUGUGGGGGACCUUCCUCUCAGAACCCCUACUGAUCGCGGGCUUGGUGGGCCGUUACCCCGCCAACAACCUAAUCAGACGCAUCCCCAUCCCAUAGCGGUGAAUCUUUCGUCCAGGUCAGAUGUCCUCUCUGGACAGCAUAGGGAAUUAAUCCGACUUUCGCCGGGCUGUGCCCUACUAUGGGGAAGGUUGGAUACGCGUUACUCACCCGUGCGCCGGUCGCCAUCAAGAGUUGCAAGCAACUCCCAUGCUGCCCCUCGACUUGCAUGUGUUAAGCCUGUAGCUAGCGUUCAUC